rnacentral:tRNA from 1 species
GUCCCCGUCGUUUAGUGGUCUAGGACACCGGGUUUUCAUCCCGGCAACAGGGGUUCGAACCCCCUCGGGGAUG